rfam:Helianthus annuus linkage group 16, whole genome shotgun sequence.
UUUUGGGCUUAGAUGGCUGUGGAGCACAUGAAAACUCUAUAGUUAAGCGUGCUCAGAUGAGAGUAGUACUAGGAUGGGUGACCCCCUGGGAAGUCUCCACCGGGUAACAAAAA